CCCAGGGCUGACGCCCUGGGCUAAUAGAAGUUGCCCUUUCAGAGCA
rnacentral:sRNA from 1 species